CUAAAAAUCGAAAAUAAGACACGGCAUUCACUACACGAUCCCGUCCGACAGACGCAAAAUGUUAAAAUGUCAUCAAUGAUGAUGAUAACAUGGCAAGAGUUGAUACACGAAUAACUUUACCUGUCGUCUAAGCUGAGGAGAUGAGACAAAUCCAGCUCAGCUAUCUCAUUAUUCCCAUUACUUUACAGGCCAAGUAUUUCAGUUUCGUGCAAUACUGACGGGGAUGCCAAAUUAAAUCCGUGUCUAGAAAGUCAUAGUCAUUACCGUCCUAUGACAUAAAGCUAAAGACUAAAAGUUCAGUGAGGUACGUGCAAAAGUUCGAUCUUCUCGUCUCAUUGUUACGAAGAUGAGAUUGGUUAAAUUGAUGCUGCUUCUUACUACUUGGGAUCGGAAAUUCGCCUCCGUAGUUGAAACUAGUUUGGACAUAAACCUGUCGAUGAUAGCAAUGAACUAUGAACUACCCAAGUAAUAUUUGGUUGAUAUUAUCAACACGAUAAUUUUAACCCUUCGUCUCACAUCUUUUAAGUAUGAAACGUGAAAAUAAAGUUGGAUAAUCAAGUUGCGAAUUAAUUAAAACUGUGUUCCAAGAAAAAGUUGAGAAAAGUUUGAGGUAUCGAAUUGAUCAAGUUUUAAACUAAUAAAUACAUAUUCCGUAGCAGGUUAAAUCUCGGUAUCCCGUUUCAUUUAUGCAUAUUGAAUUUAUGAACAUUCAUGUUGCAAUUUUAUAAAAAUACGACUAGUUUCAAAUUAAAAACUGGAUUUUAUACAAUUCAAAAUGCAAAACGAAAAAAUCAACCAAGUUUUAAUAUUGAAUUUACGUCACUUUGGAGGUAUGUAAUCAUCAAAUUUUUGUCGAGGUACAAAAACUUGCUAUAUAAAUUAUUUGCGAUGCCUACAUGUACAAAAAGUCUGAACCCAUUUCGUGGUUUGACAAAAAAGUGUAAAAUGCAGGCAGGUGAUAAAUUGCAUAACUCACCUCUUGAACAAUGCAAUGAAUUAAGUCACAAAUCUGGGUUCUCACGUUUCCCUUAAAAACUAUUUGCAUCACUAUCUCAGCCAGAGUGGGUUAAAUUAUCAGAUGAGAUGGUGAGUCGUGGCAUUUAAUUUCUGGUAUCAAAAGCCCAGAACGAAUCAAGUAUAUUCUACCACCAAUUAUGUCAAUCAAUCAAUGUUCGUGCAUCUAAAAAGGAGGAAAUGAAAGAAAGUUUGAUGCUAAACCCGACCCAGAGUCGUUUAUGGAGACUUGUUUCAUGAAUGUACUCCACAUAAUUGCUACUGCCAGUUCGAAUUGCAUAAUUAAUUGCGACGAGA